rnacentral:rRNA from 1 species
UGGGGAAUCUUCCGCAAUGGACGAAAGUCUGACGGAGCAACGCCGCGUGAGUGAAGACGGCCUUCGGGUUGUAAAGCUCUGUGAUUCGGGACGAAAGGCCAUAUGUGAAUAAUAUAUGGAAAUGACGGUACCAUAAGAAAAAGCCCCGGCUAACUACGUGCCAGCAGCCGCGGUAAUACGUAGGGGGCUAGCGUUGUCCGGAAUCACUGGGCGUAAAGGGUUCGCAGGCGGAAAUGCAAGUCAGGUGUAAAAGGCAGUAGCUUAACUACUGUAAGCAUUUGAAACUGCAUAUCUUGAGAAGAGUAGAGGUAAGUGGAAUUUUUAGUGUAGCGGUGAAAUGCGUAGAUAUUAAAAAGAAUACCGGUGGCGAAGGCGACUUACUGGGCUCAUUCUGACGCUGAGGAACGAAAGCGUGGGUAGCAAACAGG